rnacentral:rRNA from 1 species
CCUACGGGUGGCUGCAGUAGGGAAUCUUGCGCAAUGGACGAAAGUCUGACGCAGCAACGCCGCGUGAGCGAAGAAGGUCUUCGGAUCGUAAAGCUCUGUUGGCAGGGAAGAACAAGUACGGGAGGAAAUGGCCGUACCUUGACGGUACCUAACGAGGAAGCCCCGGCUAACUACGUGCCAGCAGCCGCGGUAAUACGUAGGUGGCCAGCGUUGUUCGGAAUUAUUGGGCGUAAAGCGUGCGCAGGCGGUCAUUUAAGUCUGAUGUGAAAUCUUGCGGCUCAACCGGAGGCGGUCAUUGGAGACUGGGAGACUUGAGUGCAGAAGAGGAAAGCGGAAUUCCACGUGUAGCGGUGAAAUGCGUAGAGAUGUGGAGGAACACCAGUGGCGAAGGCGGCUUUCUGGUCUGUAACUGACGCUGAGGCGCGAAAGCGUGGGGAGCAAACAGGAUUAGAUACCCUAGUAGUC